rnacentral:rRNA from 1 species
AUUGAACGCUGGCGGCAGGCCUAACACAUGCAAGUCGAACGAGUGGCGGACGGGUGAGUAAUGUCUGGGAAACUGCCUGAUGGAGGGGGAUAACUACUGGAAACGGUAGCUAAUACCGCAUACCCUCAGAUGUGCCCAGAUGGGAUUCGCUAUUAGGUGGGGUAAAGGCUCACCUAGGCGACGAUCCCUAGCUGGUCGGAGAGGAUGAACAGCCACACUGGAACUGAGACACGGUCCAGACGCCUACGGGAGGCAGCAGUGGGGAAUAUUGCACAAUGGGCGCAAGCCUGAUGCAGCCAUGCCGAGUGUAUGAAGAAGGCCUUGGGGUUGGAAAGUACUUUCAGCGGGGAGGCGUUACCAGCAGAAGAAGCACCGGCUAACUCCGUGACAGCAGCCGCGGUAAUAC